AGAAGUUUAGGUUAAACAACCCAUCAAACCAGAGACCUUCAAAGCCUCAAACAGACAAAAGUCUAACUUCUG
rnacentral:tRNA from 2 species